GACAGAGGGUGCAAACGUUGUUCGGAUUUACUGGGCGUAAAGCGCGUGUAGGCGGCCUUGCAAGUUGGAUGUGAAAGCCCACGGCUCAACCGUGGAAGCGCAUCCAAAACUGCAUCGCUCGAGUCUCGGAGAGGAAGGUGGAAUGCUUGGUGUAGAGGUGAAAUUCGUAGAUAUCAAGCAGAACACCUGCGGCGAAGGCGGGUCUCUGGGCAGUAACUGACGCUGAGGAGCGAAAGCGUGGGGAGCGAACAGG
rnacentral:rRNA from 1 species